GUAAAUGCUAGAGCUAAUACAUGCAAACCAAGUCCCGACCAGCGAUGGAGAGGACGCUUUUAUUGGAUCAAAUCCAUUCGCCCGGCUCGCCGGGCGUGUGCUUGAUGACUCUAGAUAACACCACAGAUCGUACGGUCUAAGUACCGGUGACGUAUCCUUCAAAUGUCUGACUUAUCAGCUGUCGAUGGUAGACUCUGUGUCUACCAUGGCGCUCACGGGUGACGGGGAAUCAGGGUUCGAUUCCGGAGAGGGAGCCUGAGAAACGGCUACCACAUCCAAGGAAGGCAGCAGGCACGCAAAUUACCCACUCCCGGCACGGGGAGGUAGUGACAAAAAAUAACGAUACGGGACUCAUCCGAGGCCCCGUAAUCGGAAUGAGAACAUCCUAAAUCCUUUAACGAGGAUCUAUUGGAGGGCAAGUCUGGUGCCAGCAGCCGCGGUAAUUCCAGCUCCAAUAGCGUAUAUUAAAGUUGUUGCGGUUAAAAAGCUCGUAGUUGGUUCUGCGUGCCACGCUGUCGGUUCACCGCCUGUCGGUGCAACUGGCAUGCCGUGGUAUGUCCUGUCGGUGGCGUAUAGGCUUCGCGGCGCUCCCUACACGAUACGUUGUGUAGGUCGUCGCGUCUGCCCUGUGCGCCGGCUCAAUCCUACCGCGGUGCUCUUCAUCGAGUGUCGAGGUAGGCCGACACAUUUUACUUUGAACAAAUUAGAGUGCUUAAAGCAGGCUCUUAAAUCAGCCUGAAUAGUGGUGCAUGGAAUAAUGGAACAGGACCUUGGUUCUAUUUUGUUGGUUUUAGGAAUCCAAGGUAAUGAUCAAUAAGGACAGGCGGGGGCAUUCGUAUUGCGACGUUAGAGGUGAAAUUCUUGGAUCGUCGCAAGACGCACUAGAGCGAAA
rnacentral:rRNA from 1 species